GACGAACGCUGGCGGCGUGCUUAACACAUGCAAGUCGAACGAAGAGCGAUGGAAGCUUGCUUCUAUCAAUCUUAGUGGCGAACGGGUGAGUAACGCGUAAUCAACCUGCCCUUCAGAGGUGGACAACAGUUGGAAACGACUGCUAAUACCGCAUACGAUCUAAUCUCGGCAUCGAGGAUAGAUGAAAGGUGGCCUCUACAUGUAAGCUAUCACUGAAGGAGGGGAUUGCGUCUGAUUAGCUAGUUGGAGGGGUAACGGCCCACCAAGGCGAUGAUCAGUAGCAGGUCUGAGAGGAUGAACGGCCACAUUGGGACUGAGACACGGCCCAGACUCCUACGGGAGGCAGCAGUGGGGAAUCUUCCGCAAUGGACGAAAGUCUGACGGAGCAACGCCGCGUGAGUGAUGACGGCCUUCGGGUUGUAAAGCUCUGUUAAUCGGGACGAAAGGCCUUCUUGCGAAUAGUGAGAAGGAUUGACGGUACCGGAAUAGAAAGCCACGGCUAACUACGUG
rnacentral:rRNA from 1 species